GCAAAACUUGGCUAAGUGGUUAAGGCGUGUCACUUGUACUUUCAAGGUUAUGACAAAAUCACUCGUUCGACUCGGGUAGUGGGCA